rnacentral:lncRNA from 1 species
AAAAAGAAAUGAAAAGAUAAAAUGCUGAAAAAUGCAAGAAUGGAGGGCACCUGGCUCGAACCCAUAACCUAGUGGUUAUGAGCCAAAGGAUCUACCACUCCAUCAGAGUCAUUUUGUUGCUCUCAUGAAUAUAUAGAGAGUAAAAUGACGCUAAAAAUAAAUGAAAAAAAAAAUAUAACAAAAUAGUUGUAGCAGAAUGCCAUGAAUACCAUGAAAAAUCAUUUUCACCAUGACAUGAUUUUUUCAGAAAAACAAGGUUCCAAAAU